UUGUAGGAUGGAAUGCUUAAGCACAAAAGUACUUAUGAAAUUAUUUCUCCUGAAGAUAUCGGGCUUGAAAGGUCCAAUGAAGCUGGUAUUGUCCUUGGAAAACUUAGUGGACGUCAUGCUUUGAGAGACAGAUUGAAAGAGCUUGGUUAUGAGCUUGACGAUGAACAGCUUGGCAACAUAUUCUGGCGCUUCAAAGCAGUAGCUGAACAAA